rnacentral:rRNA from 1 species
AACGCUAGCUACAGGCUUAACACAUGCAAGUCGAGGGGAAACGACAUCGAAAGCUUGCUUUUGAUGGGCGUCGACCGGCGCACGGGUGAGUAACGCGUAUCCAACCUGCCCACCACUUGGGGAUAACCUUGCGAAAGUAAGACUAAUACCCAAUGACGUCUCUAGAAGACAUCUGAAAGAGAUUAAAGAUUUAUCGGUGAUGGAUGGGGAUGCGUCUGAUUAGCUUGUUGGCGGGGUAACGGCCCACCAAGGCGACGAUCAGUAGGGGUUCUGAGAGGAAGGUCCCCCACAUUGGAACUGAGACACGGUCCAAACUCCUACGGGAGGCAGCAGUGAGGAAUAUUGGUCAAUGGGCGAGAGCCUGAACCAGCCAAGUAGCGUGCAGGAAGACGGCCCUAUGGGUUGUAAACUGCUUUUAUAAGGGAAUAAAGUUAGUCUCGUGAGACUUUUUGCAUGUACCUUAUGAAUAAGGACCGGCUAAUUCCGUGCCAGCAGCCGCGGUAAUACGGAAGGUCCGGGCGUUAUCCGGAUUUAUUGGGUUUAAAGGGAGCGUAGGCCGGAGAUUAAGCGUGUUGUGAAAUGUAGACGCUCAACGUCUGCACUGCAGCGCGAACUGGUUUCCUUGAGUACGCACAAAGUGGGCGGAAUUCGUGGUGUAGCGGUGAAAUGCAUAGAUAUCACGAAGAACUCCGAUUG